rnacentral:rRNA from 1 species
UUAAGCGACUAAGCGUACACGGUGGAUGCCCUGGCAGUCAGAGGCGAUGAAGGACGUGCUAAUCUGCGAUAAGCGUCGGUAAGGUGAUAUGAACCGUUAUAACCGGCGAUUUCCGAAUGGGGAAACCCAGUGUGUUUCGACACACUAUCAUUAACUGAAUCCAUAGGUUAAUGAGGCGAACCGGGGGAACUGAAACAUCUAAGUACCCCGAGGAAAAGAAAUCAACCGAGAUUCCCCCAGUAGCGGCGAGCGAACGGGGAGCAGCCCAGAGCCUGAAUCAGUAUGUGUGUUAGUGGAAGCGUCUGGAAAGGCGCGCGAUACAGGGUGACAGCCCCGUACACAAAAAUGCACAUAUUGUGAGCUCGAUGAGUAGGGCGGGACACGUGGUAUCCUGUCUGAAUAUGGGGGGACCAUCCUCCAAGGCUAAAUACUCCUGACUGACCGAUAGUGAACCAGUACCGUGAGGGAAAGGCGAAAAGAACCCCGGCGAGGGGAGUGAAAAAGAACCUGAAACCGUGUACGUACAAGCAGUGGGAGCACGCUUAGGCGUGUGACUGCGUACCUUUUGUAUAAUGGGUCAGCGACUUAUAUUCUGUAGCAAGGUUAACCGAAUAGGGGAGCCGAAGGGAAACCGAGUCUUAACUGGGCGUUAAGUUGCAGGGUAUAGACCCGAAACCCGGUGAUCUAGCCAUGGGCAGGUUGAAGGUUGGGUAACACUAACUGGAGGACCGAACCGACUAAUGUUGAAAAAUUAGCGGAUGACUUGUGGCUGGGGGUGAAAGGCCAAUCAAACCGGGAGAUAGCUGGUUCUCCCCGAAAGCUAUUUAGGUAGCGCCUCGUGAAUUCAUCUCCGGGGGUAGAGCACUGUUUCGGCAAGGGGGUCAUCCCGACUUACCAACCCGAUGCAAACUGCGAAUACCGGAGAAUGUUAUCACGGGAGACACACGGCGGGUGCUAACGUCCGUCGUGAAGAGGGAAACAACCCAGACCGCCAGCUAAGGUCCCAAAGUCAUGGUUAAGUGGGAAACGAUGUGGGAAGGCCCAGACAGCCAGGAUGUUGGCUUAGAAGCAGCCAUCAUUUAAAGAAAGCGUAAUAGCUCACUGGUCGAGUCGGCCUGCGCGGAAGAUGUAACGGGGCUAAACCAUGCACCGAAGCUGCGGCAGCGACACUAUGUGUUGUUGGGUAGGGGAGCGUUCUGUAAGCCUGUGAAGGUGUGCUGUGAGGCAUGCUGGAGGUAUCAGAAGUGCGAAUGCUGACAUAAGUAACGAUAAAGCGGGUGAAAAGCCCGCUCGCCGGAAGACCAAGGGUUCCUGUCCAACGUUAAUCGGGGCAGGGUGAGUCGACCCCUAAGGCGAGGCCGAAAGGCGUAGUCGAUGGGAAACAGGUUAAUAUUCCUGUACUUGGUGUUACUGCGAAGGGGGGACGGAGAAGGCUAUGUUGGCCGGGCGACGGUUGUCCCGGUUUAAGCGUGUAGGCUGGUUUUCCAGGCAAAUCCGGAAAAUCAAGGCUGAGGCGUGAUGACGAGGCACUACGGUGCUGAAGCAACAAAUGCCCUGCUUCCAGGAAAAGCCUCUAAGCAUCAGGUAACAUCAAAUCGUACCCCAAACCGACACAGGUGGUCAGGUAGAGAAUACCAAGGCGCUUGAGAGAACUCGGGUGAAGGAACUAGGCAAAAUGGUGCCGUAACUUCGGGAGAAGGCACGCUGAUAUGUAGGUGAAGUCCCUCGCGGAUGGAGCUGAAAUCAGUCGAAGAUACCAGCUGGCUGCAACUGUUUAUUAAAAACACAGCACUGUGCAAACACGAAAGUGGACGUAUACGGUGUGACGCCUGCCCGGUGCCGGAAGGUUAAUUGAUGGGGUUAGCCGCAAGGCGAAGCUCUUGAUCGAAGCCCGGUAAACGGCGGCCGUAACUAUAACGGUCCUAAGGUAGCGAAAUUCCUUGUCGGGUAAGUUCCGACCUGCACGAAUGGCGUAAUGAUGGCGAGGCUGUCUCCACCCGAGACUCAGUGAAAUUGAACUCGCUGUGAAGAUGCAGUGUACCCGCGGCAAGACGGAAAGACCCCGUGAACCUUUACUAUAGCUUGACACUGAACAUUGAGCCUUGAUGUGUAGGAUAGGUGGGAGGCUUUGAAGUGUGGACGCCAGUCUGCAUGGAGCCGACCUUGAAAUACCACCCUUUAAUGUUUGAUGUUCUAACGUUGACCCGUAAUCCGGGUUGCGGACAGUGUCUGGUGGGUAGUUUGACUGGGGCGGUCUCCUCCUAAAGAGUAACGGAGGAGCACGAAGGUUGGCUAAUCCUGGUCGGACAUCAGGAGGUUAGUGCAAUGGCAUAAGCCAGCUUGACUGCGAGCGUGACGGCGCGAGCAGGUGCGAAAGCAGGUCAUAGUGAUCCGGUGGUUCUGAAUGGAAGGGCCAUCGCUCAACGGAUAAAAGGUACUCCGGGGAUAACAGGCUGAUACCGCCCAAGAGUUCAUAUCGACGGCGGUGUUUGGCACCUCGAUGUCGGCUCAUCACAUCCUGGGGCUGAAGUAGGUCCCAAGGGUAUGGCUGUUCGCCAUUUAAAGUGGUACGCGAGCUGGGUUUAGAACGUCGUGAGACAGUUCGGUCCCUAUCUGCCGUGGGCGCUGGAGAACUGAGGGGGGCUGCUCCUAGUACGAGAGGACCGGAGUGGACGCAUCACUGGUGUUCGGGUUGUCAUGCCAAUGGCACUGCCCGGUAGCUAAAUGCGGAAGAGAUAAGUGCUGAAAGCAUCUAAGCACGAAACUUGCCCCGAGAUGAGUUCUCCCUGACUCCUUGAGAGUCCUGAAGGAACGUUGAAGACGACGACGUUGAUAGGGUGUGUAAGCGCAGCGAUGCGUUGAGCUAACCGGUACUAAUGAACCGUGAGGCUUAACCU